GACGAACGCUGGCGGCGUGCUUAACACAUGCAAGUCGAACGGAAAGGCCCUGCUUUUGUGGGGUGCUCGAGUGGCGAACGGGUGAGUAACACGUGAGUAACCUGCCCUUGACUUUUGGAUAACUUCAGGAAACUGGGGCUAAUACCGGAUAGGAGCUCCUGCUGCAUGGUGGGGGUUGGAAAGUUUCGGCGGUUGGGGAUGGACUCGCGGCUUAUCAGCUUGUUGGUGGGGUAGUGGCUUACCAAGGCUUUGACGGGUAGCCGGCCUGAGAGGGUGACCGGCCACAUUGGGACUGAGAUACGGCCCAGACUCCUACGGGAGGCAGCAGUGGGGAAUAUUGCACAAUGGGCGGAAGCCUGAUGCAGCAACGCCGCGUGCGGGAUGACGGCCUUCGGGUUGUAAACCGCUUUAGCCUGUGACGAAGCGUGAGUGACGGUAAUGGGUAAAGAAGCACCGGCUAACUACGUG
rnacentral:rRNA from 1 species